UGCCCCGUAGCCAAGUGGUAAGGCAACGGACUUUGACUCCGUCACUCGUGCGUUCGAGUCGCACCGGGGCAACCA
rnacentral:tRNA from 1 species